rnacentral:rRNA from 3 species
CGCUUGUGACCAGACUUGGGCGCGGCGGAUCAUCCGGGGUUCUCUCCGGUGCACUUCGCCGCGUUCAGGCCAGCAUCAGUUCGUCGCGGGGGAAAAAGGCUUCGGGAACGUGGCUCCUCCGGGAGUGUUAUAGCCCGUUGCAUAAUACCCUGCGGUGGACUGAGGACCGCGCAUCUGCAAGGAUGCUGGCGUAAU